GGGGGCAGCAGAAGGGCCUGGAAGGUCACACUUGCAUGGCGGGGGGGCAGGUUUGUGCCGAGCCCAAAGGAUGAGCCUGGCUCUGGGCUCUGACCAGCGGCAGUGAGGGGACAGGACAAAACACCUGCACGCAGCUGUCACUCUGCACCCCUGCUGCUCACGUUCCCCUGCCCUUCCCCACCCCCUUUGGAAACACCCUUUUCCAGCUUAGUAUCCGGCUCUUACCUCAGCGGAGGCUCAGGUUGACGCCAGAGCUGCUGUGGGGCCAGGCAGCGACGUUUCCCUGGCCGGCGGGUCACCAAGUUUCUGUUACCCUAGCAUGGUCCCUUGAGAAAACGACCUGAAGAGACUGGACCUGUUGCUCCUAUUUGCAGAUGCUCUAGAAAACCUGACUCACUGAAAGUGAAUACAGGAAAGCUUAGCGGGCUGGUGGAGCACCUGAGCCAGACCCACGUUCACAGCCCUGCCCCGUCAGGUGCUCGCAGGUGCUCCCGGCAGGUGCUCCCGGCAGGUGCUCGCGGCAGGUGCGCCCACGGGCCCCAAGAUCAGGCUGGGCCCAUUUUAAUGUAAUUCUUUACAAUUAGCACCGGGAUUGUCUGCAGAAAAGGGCAGCCAAGUGUUUUCAAAUAGUGUCUUCUCUGCAGGUUAAACAUUUACUUUCUGCUCUGCCAACACAGUUAAUUUGCAGAGCGAACCCCCUUUCCUCUGAACUUCUAACAACGCCACCCAGAUUCUCCAGGUGCCACACCGGCUCUGACGGUGCGUGUGUGUGUGUGUGUGUGUGAACUUGGGUGAGAAUCUGGCGGAGGAGGCAACUGGCCCCGGGUGGCGAGGCAGGUGGGGGCUGAACAGAGGCUCCCCGCGACAACCUGCGUGGGGACCAGGGAAAAGGUGGGAAAAACCCCUCUUAAACCUCCGUGGCCCACUGGGGAUUUGGCAGUUCUCUAGGAAAGAACCCCCACGUUCCGGGCCCCAGGGCUGCAGGCCCAGGGGAAGUCGCACGGGCGGCACAUGUUGUUCAUCACAACAAGGAUGGAGACACCCAUCCCCUGGAGUGGGAGAUGAACUGCAUGGCCUGUCAGUGGCUCAUGGCACAGUACUGCGACCCUCAGGUUUGUUUCCUCUUGGUUUAUUUCCAUUUC
rnacentral:lncRNA from 12 species